GACGAACGCUGGCGGCGUGCUUAACACAUGCAAGUCGAACGGAAAGGCCUGUCCUUCCUUGUGUUGGACGGGUACUCGAGUGGCGAACGGGUGAGUAACACGUGAGUGAUCUGCCCCCAACUUGGGUAUAAGCCUGGGAAACUGGGUCUAAUUCCCGAUAGGACUGCAGGGUGGUGCCUGUGGUGGAAAACGAUUUUCUAGUGGUUGGGGAUGAGCUCGCGGCCUAUCAGCUUGUUGGUGGGGUAAUGGCCUACCAAGGCGGCGACGGGUAGCCGGCCUGGGAGGGUGGACGGCCACAUUGGAACUGAGAUACGGCCCAGACUCCUACGGGAGGCAGCAGUGGGGAAUAUUACACAAUGGGCGGAAGCCUGAUGCAGCGACGCCGCGUGGGGGAUGACGGCCUUCGGGUUGUAAACUCCUUUCGACCGCGAGGAAGCCGCCUGGUUGGAAGGGUGGUGACGGUAGUGGUAGAAGAAGCACCGGCUAACUACGUG
rnacentral:rRNA from 1 species